rnacentral:rRNA from 1 species
CCUACGGGAGGCUGCAGUGGGGAAUAUUGGACAAUGGGGGCAACCCUGAUCCAGCCAUGCCGCGUGUGUGAAGAAGGCCUCGGGUUGUAAAGCACUUUCAGUGAGGAAGAACGCCUGGUGGUUAAUACCCAUCAGGAAAGACAUCACUCACAGAAGAAGCACCGGCUAACUCCGUGCCAGCAGCCGCGGUAAUACGGAGGGUGCGAGCGUUAAUCGGAAUUACUGGGCGUAAAGCGCGCGUAGGUGGCUUGAUAAGCCGGUUGUGAAAGCCCCGGGCUCAACCUGGGAACGGCAUCCGGAACUGUCAAGCUAGAGUGCAGGAGAGGAAGGUAGAAUUCCCGGUGUAGCGGUGAAAUGCGUAGAGAUCGGGAGGAAUACCAGUGGCGAAGGCGGCCUUCUGGACUGACACUGACACUGAGGUGCGAAAGCGUGGGUAGCAAACAGGAUUAGAUACCCGGGUAGUC